rnacentral:rRNA from 1 species
UACGUAGGGUGCGAGCGUUAAUCGGAAUUACUGGGCGUAAAGCGUGCGCAGGCGGCUUAUUAAGUCAGAUGUGAAAGCCCCGGGCUUAACCUGGGAAUGGCGUUUGAAACUGAUAGGCUAGAGCGUGUCAGAGGGAGGUAGAAUUCCACGUGUAGCAGUGAAAUGCGUAGAGAUGUGGAGGAAUACCGAUGGCGAAGGCAGCCUCCUGGGAUAACACUGACGCUCAGGCACGAAAGCGUGGGGAGCAAACAGG